rfam:Trichoderma atroviride IMI 206040 TRIATcontig_25, whole genome shotgun sequence.
GGGCGGAUGGUUUAGUGGUAUAAUUUUCCCUUAGCAUCUUGCAACCUUUGAGUUGUGGCAUCGCAUGGGAAAGGUCCGGGGUUCGAUUCCCCGUUCGUCCA